GGACACUAGGUUUGAGAGCUGGGUUCCUUGCUCACCGCGGAGCACGCACAGCAGGACCUUUCAGGAAGGGCGGGUGGCUGUGGUGCUUUCGGUGCCUCCCCACUUCACCACCUGCUGCUCGAGUGGCUAAGUCUCUGAAGCUUCGGAUUUUUCCACAGUUUCUGGCUUUCCUUGAAGGUGAUAGAUGGUUGACCUUGCCCUUUGUGAGCAACCUGGAAGCUCUGGGAUCUAGAACCUUUAAUACUUUCCAGACUCUUUGUCCAGAGUGCCCCCGGAGUUGGCAUCGCCUUCUUAGACUCCCUUCUCGGGCCCUUUUCCUUGUCUUGUACAUCAGGGGUAUUGGUGGUCUCGCCAGCACUUCUCUCCUUACUGUUGUUAGCCACCCUCCAACCCACUUCAGGAACUCUGCAGCUGUGGGAAACAGCUGGGCUCCUUUGACAGUGUAGGUGGUUUCUGAAGACAUAGGUGGGCAAGUUUGUAAAACAAAGUAUCUUUUCCUGGUUCCUCUUUUUACAGGACCUACCAACACCUGCUACCUUUGCUCCGAAACCAGGAGGAAGGUGGUCCAGGUCAUCUCUGAUGCACCGGACACUGGGACAUCAGAUCAGCCUCACUCCCAGCACUGCAUCGGACCUUUGAGUGGCAUCUGAUGAAGCCUGCUCAGAGACGCCUAUGAGCCAUAGUUCAUCAGACAGCGGGGUGGGAUGAGGGCUGGAGAGGAAGGAGAGGUAGUGCUGUUUCUGAGAUCCGAGUCUCGAGUCAGGCCACCACUGAGGUAGAUCCUGUCACCAUAAGGACACACAAAAGCUUUGGAUUUGAGCAGAUAGUUCUGCCUGCUGGUCUCUCAGCUGGGAUGAAGGUCAAAACACUAGAUGGAAUCUUCAGUUGUGCUGUAAUAUUUUCAGUAAACUUGGAAUACGACAACGAAAAUAUCGUGUGUGUUCCCUAACCCCACCACACAUAAGCGCACAUGCUCCUAUAGACUCAGCAGUCAGCACCAUAGCAUCCAGUUCAAGAUUUGAGAAAGAGGUGGGCAGGGCUGCCACUGUUCUCUGCCACCUACUGGCUGAUUAGCACCUUGAGCAACGGUUACCCAUUCUGAACCUUGGUUUCCCUCUGUGUAAAAUACUAGUAAUGUCACCUACCUUCUAGAAUUGUGACCAAAGGCUGCAUGCAUAAAGAUCUCACCU
rnacentral:lncRNA from 1 species